rnacentral:rRNA from 1 species
GUCGAACGCGAAAGUCCCGCAAGGGAUGAUUAGAGUGGCAAACGGGUGAGUAACACGUGGGUGACCUGCCUUCGAGUGGGGGAUAACGCUCCGAAAGGGACGCUAAUACCGCAUAACAUCCUGCCUUUUAAGAGGUGGAGAUCAAAGCCUGGGACCGCAAGGCCAGGCGCUUGACGAGGGGCCCGCGUCUGAUUAGCUAGUUGGUGGGGUAAUGGCUCACCAAGGCAACGAUCAGUAUCCGGCCUGAGAGGGCGGACGGACACACUGGGACUGAGACACGGCCCAGACUCCUACGGGAGGCAGCAGUGGGGAAUUGUUCGCAAUGGGCGCAAGCCUGACGACGCAACGCCGCGUGGAGGAUGAAGACCUUCGGGUCGUAAACUCCUUUCGAUCGAGACGAAUGGCCUCCGGGUGAACAAUCCGGAGGAGUGACGGUACCGAGAGAAGAAGCCCCGGCUAACUCCGUGCCAGCAGCCGCGGUAAUACGGGGGGGGCAAGCGUUGUUCGGAAUUACUGGGCGUAAAGGGCUCGUAGGUGGCCAACUAAGUCAGACGUGAAAUCCCUCGGCUUAACCGGGGAACUGCGUCUGAUACUGGAUGGCUUGAGUUUGGGAGAGGGACGCGGAAUUCCAGGUGUAGCGGUGAAAUGCGUAGAUAUCUGGAGGAACACCGGUGGCGAAGGCGGCGUCCUGGACCACACUGACACUGAGGAGCGAAAGCCAGGGGAGCAAACGGGAUUAGAUACCCCGGUAGUCCUGGCC